rnacentral:rRNA from 1 species
GGUCGGCUGGGAAUUUCGGCUUGGCGCAAAGCCUGACGUAGCAACGCCGCUGCAAGGAAGACGGCCCUACGGGUCGUAAACUGCUUUUAGAAGGGAAUAAACCCACGCUCGUGAGCGUGGCUGAAGGUACCGUACGAAUAAGGAUCGGCUAACUCCGUG